UACGGGGGGUGCGAGCGUUGUCCGGAAUCACUGGGCGUAAAGGGCGCGUAGGUGGUUUGCUAAGGGUGUGGUGAAAGUCCGGAGCUCAACUCCGGAUCUGCCGUGCCGACUGUCAAACUCGAGGGCUGUAGAGGCAGACGGAAUUCCGGGUGUAGCGGUGGAAUGCGUAGAGAUCCGGAGGAAGACCGGUGGCGAAGGCGGUCUGCUGGGCAGUUUCUGACACUGAGGCGCGACAGCGUGGGGAGCAAACAGG
rnacentral:rRNA from 1 species